UUUAGGUGAGAGGACGCUGGGAAGACAGGCAGGGGUUUAGGUGAGAGGACGCUGGGAAGACAGGCAGGGGUUUAGGUGAGAGGACGCUGGGAAGACAGGCAGGGGUUUAGGUGAGAGGACGCUGGGAAGACAGGCAGGGGUUUAGGUGAGAGGACGCUGGGAAGACAGGCAGGGGUUUAGGUGAGAGGACGCUGGGAAGACAGGCAGGGGUUUAGGUGAGAGGACGCUGGGAAGACAGGCAGGGGUUUAGGUGAGAGGACGCUGGGAAGACAGGCAGGGGUUUA